GACAGGACACAUGUGACGAGGCCCACUCCGAACUGCGUCCGCACCCGCUUCCGAGAGCAGCGCAUGGCCUCCAUCUGUCGGGCGCGAUCGCCUCCUCCCCGCCCUCCCAAGAGCGGCGCUCACCGCAGGGCGAUCCGUGCUGUCGCAGCGCCGCACAUCCUGCCCAACGGAGGUGUCUAUGAGCGAGCGGCCGUGUGGAGCGUGGGGUACGCGGAAGAAACAUCGGCGCGGCGCGCGGAAAAACAAACCGCCGCCAACAAUCGACUGGCUCCGUAUUCCUGCCAAUGUGGAUGGGGAGGCCAAGUGGGUGGUGCAGAAAGAGGAACGUUGUUUUUCUUUUUUUUCAAAUGCCAAAAAGCAAUGGGGAGCCAACCGUGCUUGUCGGAGGUGCGGAGUGUGUGUGAACAUCAACACUGGGGAGACAAAGGCAGCCGGGCAUGAUCUCCACACCACCUCCUUGUGUACAAUUCCGGCCUUUGUGCGACUGAAGGAAACGGCAUAGAUGCACGCAGGAACGGUGCACAGAGGUUUGCUUACACGUACAGCGAUUGCAUCAACACACGCGUCAUGCGUACACAUGAAAACAAUUUGAAAUGCA